rnacentral:rRNA from 1 species
UGGGGAAUUUUCCGCAAUGGGCGAAAGCCUGACGGAGCAAUGCCGCGUGGAGGUGGAAGGCCUACGGGUCGUCAACUUCUUUUCUCGGAGAAGAAAUAAUGACGGUAUCUGAGGAAUAAGCAUCGGCUAAUUCUGUACCAG